UGAAACUGCCAAGCAGCCGAAGUUUUUCCUGCAUAGACGCUGACACACUGGGCUCAAAGAGACUGCGCUCAUCUACAAAAAGAGGUGCGACACUGCCAUCUAUUGGCGCAGUGGUUGGCGUGGGGAACUGCACAGAGAAAAGAGGACUUCACUGUGGUUAUGCUGAGACUGACAAUCGUUUUCACCCGCCACUGCUGUGCUGUAAGCUGUGUUGCAGGUAAUAUGUUGUGCAUUUUGUCAUGUUACUUAUUGUAUAUUUUGUCUGUGUGAGCUAAAAGGUGUAUUUUAGUGUAUUUACCUCAUGGUAAAUGUUGAAAGUGUUUUGAAAAUCAAUUUUAUGUCACACAAUGAAUUAUGCAGGUUUUUUUUUACUUGAUUGUGGAAUAACAAUAUACACUAUACAUUAACACUAGGAUGUAAUUUUUGCUUCUAUUUUAUAUGAAAAGAUUUGUGUAUUUCAUUUCAUUGUUUACUGAACUGCACAGAGAAAAGGGGACUUCACUGUGAUUGUCCUGAGACUGAUGAUCAUUUUCACACGCCAUUGCUGUGCUGUAUGCUGUGUUGCAGGAGGGAGCUGUGUAUAAUAAACACCCCGUAAUCCACCUGGUCUUCAUCUGUGGUCUGCAGAAGCGACAGUAGUGUGGCGCUGCAUUUCACUGAUGGCUGUGACCUGUCACACACACACACACACACACACAAAAAAAACAUACUGAACAGGAUCACCUAUUAGACAGUUUUUAUUAGCUCUCACUACAGGACAUGGAAGUGACUGAUGUUGUUUUAUGCCUAAACAAACUCCAUAUUGAAAUAUUUAUUGUAAAUAUUAUAUAUUUAUAUAAAUAUUGAAAAUUUACUUUGUUUACAUUUGGCGGACCCUGCCAUCUUUCUAGCAUCGGUUAGUGUUCUGUGACCUUAUUUUCUUUCAAGAAACAGCUUGUUGAUUCAGUUUACAUUUCUUCUCCAAAACAACAUGGUGCCCCUUUAAGAAGCUGGAGCUUUUUUCAGCCAUUGGACUGGAAUCCAGGAGGAACCCCUCUUUAGAACGACAGAGUGACUUGUUUAUUUGAGGGAAUAGGUGAGGCUAAAUGAUCUACAGCAGACUCUGUAUUCGACAUUCCUGCUGGUUAUUGUUUGUUGUUUUCCUGGUGAGUGUGGUGACAAGCAGAGAGCAAUCAU